GGUUGAUCCUGCCAGUAGUCAUAUGCUUGUCCUAAAGAUUAAGCCAUGCAUGUCUAAGUAUAUACCUUUAUACGGUGAAACUGCGAAUGGCUCAUUAUAUCAGUUAUAAUUUACUUGAUGAUUUCUUUACUACUUGGAUAACCGUGGUAAUUCUAGAGCUAAUACAUGCUAAAGACCUAACUUCUGGAAGGGUCGUAUUUAUUAGAUAAAAAACCAAUGCCAAUAAAAAUGGCUUUUGGUGAGUCAUAAUAACUGCGCGGAUCGCAUGGCCUUUUGAGCCGGCGACGCUUCAU
rnacentral:rRNA from 1 species